AGCCACCUACAGGGAAAAACAUCAUACGGAUGUUACAUCACCAUCUAAAGACAAUUUCAUCCUAAUUCUUUUUUCCCUCAGUUUCUCUUCCCAUGAUAGACGGAGAACUUUCCGGAGACCCACUGGACCUAAAGAUGUUCAACGCCACAGACUGGAUUCUGGAGGAGCCUACAGACUAAGAGACAGCCCUCUACAAUCCCAUAAUGCCCAUGCAGGUGCUCCCCAAGGUCAACCAGGAAGUAAAUCCAGCAAAGGACAUGGAGCUGUCUGAGUUGACGGUAAGAAGUCUGAGGACAUUUUUCAAAAGCAUAUUUCUUUCUUUCCUUGAGUAUUGAUUUGUAUGUGAAUGGAUAGGUUGAAUGGAUAAUGUUUGACUGACCAUGUGCUGUCUGUCUGUCAUAAAUCGUCAUAUGAGAUUGGUAUUGUUUGCCAGUUCCCCUUCUCGUCGGCUAAAUCGUCAUAUGAGAUUGGGAUUGUUUGCCAGUUCCCCUUCUCGUCGGCUCUACAGAGGACGAAUGUGGUUGUCCGGACGGAGGCUGGGGAGAAGGGCAUGGACACCUACCUCAAGGGGGCGCCAGAGGUUGUGGCCAGCCUCUGCAGAGAGGACACAUAUUAUAUCGGAGAGCUUUACCGAGACACAGGAGUCUGGGUUUCAGAGUCGUUACCCUGGCCCAUAGCCAGCUGGAGGCCAAACUCCUGGCCAAACUCAGAAUGGGCUGAAUACUAGACCAAUAUGGAGUUCCUUGGGCUCGUAAUCAUGCCAAACAAGCGGAAGGAAGAGACUGCCAGGGCUUUAAAAGACCUACGACUUGCAAACGUUCGCACUGUGAUGGUUACUGGCCCUGAAGACAGCUCACAGUGGGAUCUCCUUGUUCAGCGCUGGGUGCCUCGGUCACCUCCCUCUUCACCUCCAACAUCUCCUGUGUACCCAACCUCAUUGGGUACUGUAGCAUCCUUCUCAUCAACCGUGUUAACUAUCACUUUAUUUUACAGUCCUUAUACAGUUGGUACAAAUUGGCAAGCUAUAAUGUACUUACUUUGGUAACAACAUGAUAUCGAAUGGUACUUAAACAGACAGUUAGUCGUUAGGUGCCGCUGCGGUCAAAUAUAGAAGCCACCUUGCACGAUUCACAAUUUCUUCAACAACAACAAAAAAUAAAUUGAAAACUUUUGGUGUUCCCAUAUGUAUUUGUGUGCAUUCAACCUUUACAGGACUAAGAAAAAAAUAUCUAAACUGAAAUUAAAAAAUGUCAAUUUAAGUAAACAAAUGGCCGAGACUAAAUUAUUCAAAAUUCUAAUUAAUUUGGUGGGAGGCAAGUGAUACUUGUUUAUGUGUAAUUGUAAGUUGCAGGUGCCUACAGGGUAAAAAUAGCCAUUCAACCAAUGUGCACUCCAUAGUAAAGUGCAAGGGUGCCAAUAUAUUUGACCGCAACUGUAUAACAAUGUGAAUAAACUAUAGGUUGUAGGGAAUAUAACUUCCUGUGGAAUAAAAUGUAUCUGUUGAGGUAUUUGAAGUGCUGCAUCAAAGUAGUCUCAUCCAGAGUUGUAAGAGCAAUUGUGAGCAAUUAUAUUCAACAGUGAGCAUAAAAAAAAGCAUUAAAAAAAACAAAAGAAAGAAAAACAUUGCAA